rnacentral:rRNA from 1 species
GAGUUUGAUUAUGGCUCAGGAUGAACGCUAGCGGCAGGCUUAACACAUGCAAGUCGAGGGGCAGCGGGGAGGAAGCUUGCUUUCUCCGCCGGCGACCGGCGCACGGGUGAGUAACACGUAUGCAACCUGCCCCUGUCAGGGGGGCAACCCGCCGAAAGGCGGGCUAAACCCGCGUACAUGCCACCGGGGCAUCCCGGAGGCAGGAAAGGCUUCGGCCGGACAGGGAUGGGCAUGCGGCGCAUUAGGCAGUAGGCGGGGUAACGGCCCACCGAACCGACGAUGCGUAGGGGUUCUGAGAGGAAGGUCCCCCACACUGGUACUGAGACACGGACCAGACUCCUACGGGAGGCAGCAGUGAGGAAUAUUGGUCAAUGGUCGGGAGACUGAACCAGCCAAGCCGCGUGAGGGAGGAAGGUACAGAGUAUCGUAAACCUCUUUUGUCAGGGAACAAAGACUGGGACGCGUCCCCGGAUGAGUGUACCUGAAAAAAAAGCAUCGGCUAACUCCGUGCCAGCAGCCGCGGUAAUACGGAGGAUGCGAGCGUUAUCCGGAUUUAUUGGGUUUAAAGGGUGCGCAGGCGGUCUGUUAAGUCAGCGGUCAAAGCCCGGGGCUCAACCCCGGCCCGCCGUUGAAACUGGCAGUCUCGAGUUGGAGAGAAGUAUGCGGAAUGCGCGGUGUAGCGGUGAAAUGCAUAGAUAUCGCGCAGAACUCCGAUUGCGAAGGCAGCAUGCCGGCUCCACACUGACGCUGAGGCACGAAAGCGUGGGUAUCGAACAGGAUUAGAUACCCUGGUAGUCCACGCAGUAAACGAUGAAUGCUGGCUGUCCGGGGGGACUGACCCCUGGGUGGCGAAGCGAAAGCGAUAAGCAUUCCACCUGGGGAGUACGCCGGCAACGGUGAAACUCAAAGGAAUUGACGGGGGCCCGCACAAGCGGAGGAACAUGUGGUUUAAUUCGAUGAUACGCGAGGAACCUUACCCGGGCUCAAACGGGGAGUGACUCAGGCAGAGACGCCUGUUUCCCACGGGACACUCCCCGAGGUGCUGCAUGGUUGUCGUCAGCUCGUGCCGUGAGGUGUCGGCUUAUGUGCCAUAACGAGCGCAACCCCCGCGUGCAGUUGCUAACAGAUAACGCUGAGGACUCUGCACGGACUGCCGGCGCAAGCCGCGAGGAAGGCGGGGAUGACGUCAAAUCAGCACGGCCCUUACGUCCGGGGCGACACACGUGUUACAAUGGGUGGUACAGCGGGAAGCCAGGCGGCGACGCCGAGCGGAACCCGAAAUCCACUCUCAGUUCGGAUCGGAGUCUGCAACCCGACUCCGUGAAGCUGGAUUCGCUAGUAAUCGCGCAUCAGCCAUGGCGCGGUGAAUACGUUCCCGGGCCUUGUACACACCGCCCGUCAAGCCAUGGGAGCCGAGGGCGCUUGAAGUGCGUCGCCGCGAGGCGCGCCCUAGAGCGAAAUCGGUGACUGGGGCUAAGUCGUAACAAGGU